rnacentral:rRNA from 1 species
UACGUAGGGCGCAAGCGUUGUCCGGAAUUAUUGGGCGUAAAGAGCUCGUAGGCGGCUUGUCACGUCGGAUGUGAAAGCCCGGGGCUUAACCCCGGGUCUGCAUUCGAUACGGGCAGGCUAGAGUUCGGUAGGGGAGAUCGGAAUUCCUAGUGUAGAGGUGAAAUUCGUAGAUAUUAGGAAGAACACCAGUGGCGAAGGCGGCCAACUGGCCCGACACUGACGCUCAUGUGCGAAAGCGUGGGGAGCAAACAGG